GUGAUCAGCAGCUCUCACUUAUAUGUGUCUGAAAAGUGGAAGGACAUUCACGAAAUCGGUGCAUGAAUAUCAAUGUUCACUACAUUUUGGAUCUUCACUGUAGCCUAUACGUUACAUGAGUACGGUGCUUCAAUUUAUUUCUGUUCCCUCAUUCACUUGAACAUUUUGCUCUACUGUACUUUCAAAAUCAAUCUCAUGGCAGGAUAGAAUUUCAGUACAGUGAUUUCCUGGAAAGCAAUGAAGAAGCUGAGCAUGUUGCUGGUUGCUCUUUUUAUAAGGUAAUACAAAUGUUUAUAUUUGGAGGAUUUAACGUACAGUAAUUAUUAUGCAGGAAGGUAAGUGUGAUAAUGUGCUGUGCUUGAUAUAAGGUACAUCAUGGUUAUGUGAAUGCUUAAUAAGUUGAUAUAUUUAAAAGUGCAUUAUAUAUUAUAUACAGAGAGAAGGUGAAUUGAAAAAAAGUUUGGGCAUGAUUUUGCCAUGCAGGUCAAAGUUGUAUUAGCUUUUCUAUUACAAAUUUCUAUUUUAUGAAGCAAUCAUUUGAUAGUUUCCCCCAGGAUCUUGUACCCUAUGUGUUCAAGCUGAUUUUAGAAAUUUGUGUGUCUUCACUUAAAAAGUUCAAAAAUAAGAAUGUGAAUUUACCAGUUUAGACGUUGAAUUCCAACAAGACUUUUUUUUUAAGUCACAAUGCGGGGGGAAACUGAUAAUUGAUUAGCAUUUUGUCUGAAGUCCAUCCAACCCUUUUAAAAGGCUGCUUUCUCGCUCAUCUAUUGGUGAGAACCUUAACAUGAUCUCUAAUUUUAGCAUGAAAAAACAGCAUUGAAUUUUGAAUAAAUGGGUCUGCCCAAUUUUAGCAUGAAAAAAACAGCAUUGAAUUUUGAAUAAAUGGCAUCUGUUUUAAAUAAAAACCAGAAAGAGUCCUGUGGCUCCUCAAAAGCAAACAAAUUUGUUGUAGCAAGAGCAUUCUGUAGGCAAGAGCCUACUUCAUCAGAUGCAUGAAGUGGACAGUGAAAGCAUGAGAUUCAUAUCUAUAAUACAUGGGAUCAGUGGAGAGAAGCUGUUUUUAAUAAGGCAUCUGUAGUCACAUUGUCACAGUCCACAAUGUGGAUCAGUGCAACGCAAAAAUAUAGAUGUCAUCAAUCGAUUGCAGUUUAUCAUUAUGGUGUGUUGUGUAAAUGGAUAAAUAGCACAAUAUUAUUUGCCAUAAACCAGGGGAAAAAAUCUUUCUGGGUUAAACAUUUAUGGGGGAGGGGGAAAUGAAAUUUAAGUAAAUACUUUUGUAGGUAAUUACUUGGUAUGCUGAAUUGGAAGGAAUAUGAUCUUGCUCCAAAGGAGCCCUUUCUAAGUCUCCCUGACUUAAACAUAAUAUGCAUUUUGUAACUUCUUGGUGAUGUUUUUGAGGCAGGAGAUGGUUUUAAGAAGCAUAAAAAUGCAGCUAAACAUAGAACAAAAGUGUAUGAAAACACUAAACAAUGCAAUUAAGUUUAGUAAUGAGAUUCUCUUGUCUAACUUGGUUACUGAGAUGAUUAGCAGACCACUCACAAUGGUGUUGUCUCACUCACCUACAUGUGAUCUGUGAACCUAUGUAAUAUAUAUUUCUCCUCUUAUCUAUUCAAUCCAUGAACAUUAUUGUGCAGCCCAUUUCCAUACUUCUUUAUUGUACAUGCUUAUUUAGAAAUCUCAUUUAUUCAAUGCAGCUUACUCCCAAGUAAAUGUACAGAGGAGUAAGACCUUAGUAACAUCAAGCCCAAUGUUAGGCAAAAGAUUCCUGCAUUGCAGGGUAUUGGACUAAAUGAUUCUCAUGGUCCCGCUACAAUUCUGUUAUUCAGUAUCUGAUUUGGGGAAGCAUAUCCCUGCAACUAUUCCACUGGCGACCAUUUUAGUGUCCUGCAUUUGGACGCUGGCCCUGCUAGUUCAUGUUGAGCUGUGUGCUCAUUUUAUAAUGAAUACCUCUGCUUGUUUCCUGGUGCCACCAUGCUGAUCUUAAUAAAAUGCCAGCUUCAAUAUCUAACAAAGCACAGGAUCCUAUUCUGGCUUGUUGGUAAGAACUCAGAAAAUGGAAACCCUCGAGUGAGGUCUAAGUACUCAUCAUCUUGCAGAUAGAUGCUUGAACUGCAUAUAUUGGAGGAAGAAAACGAGGUUGCCUGUUUAUUUGAAAGGUUUGCUUGUAGCCUCCAAUGUUUAACAGGUGCCUGUGGCUUUAGAAGAUAACACAGCUGGCCAAACAAUGCAGAUUCUAUAAUCUGCUGCCCUCUUGUAAAACCAGUUGGUAUACAGGUCAGCCAAACAGUAAGUGCAGCCAGAAUAACAAGAUGGGACCGAUUGCCACCCAGCAUUGUCUGAUAUAGCAAGUCAAAUCUCUCUUACAAGACAUGCCACUCCUGUUUGCCUUAGUUGUUUGUUUGUUUGUUUGUUUGUUUAGUUCUGGGGAAAUAAAGACAUUGGGUGGUGUAUUCAACAAGAAGGGGGAGACAUCUACUUUUUCUUUUCUUUUCAACCCUUAGGCCUUAUGUUUCUUACAUGUCAUAUUGCACAGAUGAAGGACUAGUGGACCCAUGGCCAGCAGCAUGUCGUAUAAAUAAAGUGCCGAUUAGUUAGGUAUUAACACGGAGGCCGAAAAUGAGAGCAAAACGGAUAAGGUUCAUGUUCCCUUUUACACAAGCUUAAGGCAGGGACUUUAGAAGUGUGUGCAGUAUUCCUACCCCUAAAACAGUUGUUGAAAGUGCCUCAAUUAAGAACAACACAGUGCAGGCCUAAAAAAUAAUCUCUGUUGUCAAGGAGAAGCCUGCAUCCAUGCCACUUUCUCCAACCUGGUGCCCUCCAAAUGUUUUGGAUUAUAUUUUCCAUCAGCCCAAGCAAGCACAACCAUGCAGGCUAGGAAUGAUGGGGGUUGCAGUUCAAAACAUCUCAAGGGCACCAGUUUGGCAAGGGCUUCAUUAAUACAUAAUCUUUGGACUGUGCCAGUAUGCAUAUAAGCUAUUGCUACAAAAUGAUCAUGUGCAAGCCAGGAAGCCAGGGCGACGGCAGUGUCGUUAUCAUUUGAAAUAACCUCAUACGUGACUUUAUUGUGGCAAUUCCACCAACUACUGAACAUACAAAAGAAAUGGACCCGCUUCUCAGUAAGGCUCGUUGAUUGUCAUGGCAACCAAUGACAUAUAUGCCACUAGGUUUUGAGUAACUGUAUUCACGUGCCCCGUUUGGAAAGCCUGUGGUCAUGCUAUUUUAUUGCUGACAUGGCCAUGAUUUCAUUAAUGAACCACAUAACAUACACACACCCCAACCUAAUGUGUAAAGGGUGCCUGAAAUAAAUGGUGGAAGAGGGCCUGUCCCCAUAAUGAAAUUAUGGUUAGGAGGUUUGCAAAGCGGAUUCACAUCUGUUUUAAGAGCUGCUGAGGAGGCUCUUCUCAAAGCUGUGUUCUUCAACCUUGGUUCCCCAGAUGUUGUUCAGCUGAAACCCUUAUAGCUAAUGGUCAGGGGUGGUGGGAGCUCCAGUCCAACAUUUGGAGAUCCAGGGUUGAAGAAAACUGUCUUAAAGUACCUUCUACAUGUGUCUUGUCAAUGUGGAGCAGAUGCUUGUCUGUUACGACAUCUCACAGAAGUAUAGUUGGUGCUGGUUCUGUUAUCCUCUUGGCACCUGGUCAAAACUUACAUGUUGGGCCUGGCGUUUUAGCUGUUUAGUCCUAUUGUGUUUUACUUCCUCUUACAAAGCUGUUUAGAUUGUGUUUUAUGCUUUUAUCUUUGGCAGUAUGACAAUUAUUGGUCAUAUUUUAUUCACUGCCCUGAUACCCGAUUGUGGUUUUUUGGGAGGAGGGAGAGGUAAAGAUCUUUUAGUAAAUAAACAAAUGUGCCAUUGUUAUAGUGCCAGACCAAGUAAUUAUCCCGCUUGAAGCUGAUCACCAAAUGGCAACCUAUUCACUAACCCUUCUAGGGCCAACACUUUAAAAAUUCUGUACCAUUUUGAACAUCAAUUCCUGUCCUCAUCUAUCCUCUAAGUCCUGCUGUUUGAAACAGCCUGUACCACCAUGCUGUAUGGCAGGGCCAGUCCUGUGUUGUUGACAAGGCAUGGCAAGAAGAUAAAGCGGCUUUCACAGGAAUCCUGGCACUUUAAUCUUCAUAGAAAAGUGCCGCUGCUGUCCACCAAUAGCACCUCAAGCGCUUUCUCUAAAAAGCUAAAUAGGACUGAGAAGUCAGCUUUGGCAGAAAAGUGUCCGAAGCUUUCGAAGGUGUUAUAGUCUCAUGAAAGUUAUCAAAUAAAAAUAAACAUUUCCAUGCUAAAAUAUUUAUGUGGUUAAGGAUAUGGAAAACAUCACACUCAAUUAUUUUUUUUGUAAGCUGCUUUGAAGUAGUUAAAAAACCAAAAACCAUCAGCAGUAUAUAAUUUUUAAUGAAAUAAAUAAAUAAAUUCCCGAGAUGUGGAUGUGCUCUUCAUUAUACUUGUUUUCUAUGUGAAACAGCGAGCUUCCAGCAGGGCAAAAUGAACAAUGUCAAUCCAAGCGUAUUGUAUAGGCUUUGGAAAGUCGUCCAGUGGACCAAUCUAUAAACCAGCUAAAAUAUACUGGGAUAUGAUAAUUAAGUCAACAGGGCUGAAUCAACUGCAAACAAAGGCCUCCGUUCCUUCAUAAAAUGGGCAUUUUGCUUUUCUUCGAGCAAUGUUUUUGGCCACCUAAUAAAGAUAUUCAACUCGCCCCAAAUAAAAUUCUUCUUUGUGUGUGUAUCUGCUUUGUCAGCUGCUGCUGCGCAGAUUUGGUAUACUCUCACUAUUUGACUGGCAUCUUUGUGCUUUCCGUUUAGAUUGGAUUAACACAUGCAUUAUAUCCUUUAACAUCGAGCCCCGCCCCCCCAACAUGGUGAGACAUGUCUUUGACUUUUAAUUUCAUUCAGCCAUUGACUUGCACCCCAACAAGAGAAAAAUAAAUAGCACCACCAGAAACCAUUCCCUUCAAUUAGAGUGUUUAAAGACAGCAGCUUGGUGAUUUUCCCCUGCCUCCAAAGUGAUGUAAAAGGCAGUCAAAUUGGCUUGGUGUUAUUUUAUGUGGGCCAGUGCUGGGAUGACAGCAUUGCAUAGGCUUGGGUUACAACAAAAUUAGCAUUCAUUUGCACAGGUGCCUUUCAGUUUUAUUAUUAAAAAUGCUUGUUGUUGAGCCUUUCCUUUCGCUGUCCAAAUGUUUGCUGCUUUGUAGAAUUCCCUGUGGACAGUGUUUGUGUGCCUCCAUCACACAGCUCUGAUCACCCAUCGUAAUCACUUCGGCCUAAUAAGAAGUGAGUCUGGGAUGCCCCUGUUUCUUUCCCCGCAGAUAAGAGUCCUGAGAUGGUGAGAUAAUCUCUCUGUGCCCUCUGUUAGUUUAUCCUUAUAGCUGCCAGCCUCUGCAGCUAAAUAAUUCCUCUCCAGUGCCCGUACUGUUUAUUUGAACCCUGGAAGUUUCGUAGAUUUGCAGGAAGAGCUGCAGAUCUUUAGAUAUUGGCAGUUUAUUUUGUGGAAUAUGUGUACAGGAGCUAUUUACAGGUGACCUAUUUAUUUCUUGUCAUGGCUGAAGCAUGAUGGUAGCUUUUUUGUCAUUUACAUGACACGGCAGUUCAAGAUUUCAGGGGAUAUGGGCAUAUUUUAGUAUAUGAUUCAGAAAAGUGUUGUUGUUACCCAUUCUCCUAAAUUAAAUGCUGGUUUACUGCCAGUCUGUUUGCUUACAAUAAAAAUUUAGUUGUUUCCACAGCAUUAUUCAUAUUUAUUCAAUGUCACUUGCCUUUUGCUGGAAAUGAUCUAGGAAACGAUUUAUAUUCUGACCCUUGGCUGCCUUCCUGUAUUUCAGCAUCCACUGUUCCCAGUGCAUGAUGAGAAACCAAUUUUUCUCCCACAUCUGACCCUUUAUAUUUCUGCAACUGGUCUUUGGACAGAUGUAUGCUUGAUUGCCUCCACCUCUAUAGACCUAAUCAAAACGUACAAGCAAAUGUGUGCACCAAAAGACCGAUGGCAAUUUAAAUGAGGUAAAAUUCACAUUGAGAGGGAGCAACAACAACAACAAAAAGAGAAGGGAUAAUCCUUUUCAUACUGUUUCUCCAUUCUAUACUAUGCUCCUAAAUUGCUUUUCUCUGCAGAGUUCCAAAUGUGUGUUUGACUUCCCAAAUUGGGAGUCUAUAGGGAGAUACGAAUCAGCAGGCAGGGGAUUCCCAGUUGGUUUUGUGCUCCAGAUAACCUCCAAAGUGGACUUUCUCUCCUAUUAAAAUAAAUAGCCCCCAAGAUUUUGUUACACAUGUUGUCAGAAAAUAUUUAGUCAGGGUAUUAGGCACAAGAUGCUAUCAAGAGACUUGAAGACCAAUGAGAAUUUUCUUUGUAACUCCAGUAAGAUGUGGAUUACAUGCCCUGUGGAAUUUAGCACAUAGGGUUGUACAUGCUAUGGUUAAAAUGUGUUAGCACCGGGGAGCAGAAGUGUGUUCUGAUAUGUUCUGCUUAUUAUAAAAUCAACGUAUUAACUCCCCCCUUUUUUUGUUAAAAAUCCUUUUCUUGACUCUGCACAUACAAGGUCUACUCUUAAAUUAAACCACAUCUGGUUUUGAGUUACAUGCCUUUAACCAGAUAACAUCUGAAAAUGUCUUUUAGGUAGUCCUAAAAACAAGCCAGAAUGGAAACUGCCUAUCAUGCCUAAAUACUAUAUCAGAAACAACUCCUUUAUACAGGCAGUUGUUGCUAUGGUGGUCACACUGUAUGAGAUCCAUCAAAACAGCAAGCUCUGUAUACCUGUGUUAAGGUAUUCGGUCUUACUUUCCCCCGCUUUUGCACAUACAUAUUCUGUGCCAGAGUUUGGUUCACAGUGCUGCAUGUAAGCAAAGAGACAGUGACAGCAUUUUCCUAUUUUCAGAGAGCUGAUUUCUUUUACAUUACUUUAAUUUUAUGUUACUGUACGACUCCCACAACAUUCUUUGCAUUAAUAAUAUUUUUUAAUAAAUACCUUUUUUUUUCUUUCAAGUAGUUUCUAUGGACAAACACAAAGCUUGUUUGUGUGCAAAACGAAGGCUGACUAAAUGGUGCUAAAGUGUAUAUUGACUGUCAGAUAUAAUCAGGCAAAAAUUUGUGGUGCUUAGACAGAUUUUUUUUCAUUGUUUCUUUAUUGAUCAAUGCAUUUAACAGUGUUUUAUUAUACACACAUUCUUUUAUUAGUAAAUGAAGGCCUCAUAGUGCACUAUUAAAUAAAACAAAAAUGGGUUAACUAAUCUAUGUACCAGCUCACCAAGCUAUUAUCGUUUAACUCCUUAUAAUAUUGCAUAAUUAAAGGUCAAGGGGUCAUGAUAUUAAUCUCAUUGCUGUUCACUCAUUACAUGACUGAACAUUUUUGAACAAAAUACUUAUGUUUACAAUAGUAUAAUAACCCUUUGACUGCUGCGGCAACCUUUAACCACGAAAUUAAAACGUCACAUGCUAGAAUUGUCUUUUUGGUUCUUGUCCUGGCAAUCAAAGAGUUAAGGGCUGUGCAGUGAUUUGUUUUCUAUUUAUUAAUUUCUAUUUAUUUUUUUGUUUUCAUUUGAGGAGGGGGGUCCGGGGUGGGGCAGUUCUCGUCUGCUGUAAGUGUCUUAACCAAGGGAAGGGUUAAAAAUUGCUUUUUUUAUACUAUCUUAUGUACUUACCAUCAUUUCAUUGUGUUGUAAUUAAAAAAAAAAACCUGUCAAUAAAUAAGAAAGCAGAAGCAGCGUUUCUUA